AUAUUGGUCGAUGGACGCAAGUCUGAACCAGCCAUGCCGCGUGAAGGAUGAAGGUCCUCUGGAUUGUAAACUUCUUUUAUCUGGGACGAAAACGGGAUUUUUAUCUCAAUUGACGGUACCAGAGGAAUAAGCACCGGCUAACUCCGUGCCAGCAGCCGCGGUAAUACGGAUGGUGCGAGCGUUAUCCGGAUUUACUGGGUUUAAAGGGUGCGUAGGUGGGCUUAUAAGUCAGUGGUGAAAUCUCCGAGCUUAACUUGGAAACUGCCGUUGAUACUAUAGGUCUUGAAUUAUCUGGAGGUAAGCGGAAUAUGUCAUGUAGCGGUGAAAUGCUUAGAUAUGACAUAGAACACCAAUUGCGAAGGCAGCUUACUACAUAUAAAUUGACGCUGAGGCACGAAAGCGUGGGGAUCAAACA
rnacentral:rRNA from 1 species